rnacentral:rRNA from 1 species
ACGAAUUCGCCCUUAGAGUUUGAUCCUGGUGUCUCGAUGAACGCUAGCUACAGGCUUAACACAUGCAAGUCGAGGGGCAGCAUGAACUUAGCUUGCUAAGUUUGAUGGCGACCGGCGCACGGGUGAGUAACACGUAUCCAACCUUCCGUUUACUCAGGGAUAGCCUUUCGAAAGAAAGAUUAAUACCUGAUAGUAUGGUGAGAUUGCAUGAUAGCACCAUUAAAGAUUUAUUGGUAAACGAUGGGGAUGCGUUCCAUUAGGUAGUAGGCGGGGUAACGGCCCACCUAGCCGACGAUGGAUAGGGGUUCUGAGAGGAAGGUCCCCCACAUUGGAACUGAGACACGGUCCAAACUCCUACGGGAGGCAGCAGUGAGGAAUAUUGGUCAAUGGGCGAGAGCCUGAACCAGCCAAGUAGCGUGAAGGAUGAAGGUCCUACGGAUUGUAAACUUCUUUUAUACGGGAAUAAAGUAUCCUACGUGUAGGAUUUUGUAUGUACCGUAUGAAUAAGCAUCGGCUAACUCCGUGCCAGCAGCCGCGGUAAUACGGAGGAUGCGAGCGUUAUCCGGAUUUAUUGGGUUUAAAGGGAGCGCAGACGGGAGAUUAAGUCAGUUGUGAAAGUUUGCGGCUCAACCGUAAAAUUGCAGUUGAUACUGGUUUCCUUGAGUGCAGUUGAGGCAGGCGGAAUUCGUGGUGUAGCGGUGAAAUGCUUAGAUAUCACGAAGAACCCCGAUUGCGAAGGCAGCUUGCUAAACUGUAACUGACGUUCAUGCUCGAAAGUGUGGGUAUCAAACAGGAUUAGAUACCCUGGUAGUCCACACGGUAAACGAUGGAUACUCGCUGUUGGCGAUAUACUGUCAGCGGCCAAGCGAAAGCAUUAAGUAUCCCACCUGGGGAGUACGCCGGCAACGGUGAAACUCAAAUGACAUUGACGGAAGGGCGA